rnacentral:rRNA from 1 species
CAGUCGCCGCGGUAAUACGAAGGGGGCUAGCGUUGCUCGGAAUUACUGGGCGUAAAGGGAGCGUAGGCGGACAUUUAAGUCAGGGGUGAAAUCCCAGAGCUCAACUCUGGAACUGCCCUUGAUACUGGGUGUCUUGAGUGUGAUAGAGGUAUGUGGAACUCCGAGUGUAGAGGUGAGAUUCGUGGAUAUUCGGAAGAACACCAGUGGCGAAGGCGACAUACUGGAUCAUUACUGACGCUGAGGCUCGAAAGCGUGGGGAGCAAACAGGAUUAGAUACCCGCGUAGUCCCUGUCUCUUAUAC